AAGUCGUAACAAGGUUUCCGUAGGUGAACCUGCGGAAGGAUCAUUCAUGUAACAAUGAAAGGGCUAUCUUCUCUCGGGGAGGUAGUCUGAUCGUCCAACCUGUGAACAUAUACUAAUUUUGGUGACCAUGUAGUGUUGGUAUUCUUGUCUUUCGGGGCUGGGGUAUUGACCAGAAGCUGGCGCCAGGGGCAAUACUAACCUUUUUUAUUUUUAUGCCUAAAACGUCUAAGUGAAUUAAAUUAUAACCUUUAACAAUGGAUCUCUUGGCUCCU
rnacentral:misc_RNA from 1 species